UCAACCUCUGUGAAAUGUUGUUCACACAUCUAGGUUUUUGCUUUCCCGUGGCAAUGAUAGAGAGAGAAGAAAAGAGAGAAUGAGAUAGAGAAAGAGAGCGUGAAAGGACGAGGGAUGUUAGAUCGGUGGCUUCCAUAGCUCCAACAGUGACGACGGUCAAGCGGCUAGGGUUCCGAUCAAGUUCUGGCAAGCUUCUGUUAGGGCUUUGGGCAUCCAUCUUUAGUAAUCGAAGCAUCUGGGUUGUUUUAAGGUUGCAGGGAUGAACAAUGACUAGAAUUAUUCUCAACUUCUAACCUUCUAUUUCACUUUGAUAUUUGUACAGAAGGAUAUACAAGAAACACCCAAAGGACUGAAGGAGACAUUUUAACCUUGCAUUGGAGGGUAUGGUGACAUGUAAAAUCUUAUAUGUUGUUAAAACAAUAUUGGAGUGCUUGCUCAAAUUGGAAGAGACCUUG